rnacentral:rRNA from 1 species
GCUACAGGCUUAACACAUGCAAGUCGAGGGGUAGCAGGGUAGCAAUACCGCUGACGACCGGCGCACGGGUGAGUAACACGUAUCCAACCUUCCCAUAACUCGGGGAUAGCCUUUCGAAAGAAAGAUUAAUACCCGAUAGUACUUUAUUAAGGCAUCUUAAGAAAGUUAAAGAUUUAUUGGUUAUGGAUGGGGAUGCGUUCCAUUAGAUAGUUGGUGAGGUAACGGCUCACCAAGUCUUCGAUGGAUAGGGGUUCUGAGAGGAAGGUCCCCCACAUUGGUACUGAGACACGGACCAAACUCCUACGGGAGGCAGCAGUGAGGAAUAUUGGUCAAUGGGCGAGAGCCUGAACCAGCCAAGUAGCGUGAAGGAUGACGG